CUACGGGUUGCUCCAGUGGGGAAUAUUGCACAAUGGAGGAAACUCUGAUGCAGCAACGCCACGUAGAAGAUAACACUUUUCGGAGCGUAAACUCCUUUUAUAUAGGAAGAAGAUGACGGUACUAUAUGAAUAAGCGCCGGCUAACUCCGUGCCAGCAGCCGCGGUAAUACGGAGGGCGCAAGCGUUACUCGGAAUCACUGGGCGUAAAGAGCGUGUAGGCGGAUUAAAAAGUCAGAAGUGAAAUCCUAUAGCUUAACUAUAGAACUGCUUCUGAAACUCUUAAUCUAGAAUAUGGGAGAGGUAGAUGGAAUUUCUGGUGUAGGGGUAAAAUCCGUAGAGAUCAGAAGGAAUACCGAUUGCGAAGGCGAUCUACUAGAACAUUAUUGACGCUGAGACGCGAAAGCGUGGGGAGCAAACAGGAUUAGAUACCCUUGUAGUC
rnacentral:rRNA from 1 species